UUUAGUAGAUUAUUAGGUAUACAGGUUCCCCCUCACAGACUGGAACCAGGCAGAGAAGCUGCUUUGGGACAGCUCGGGAGGCCACCUAUCCCAUUUGGUAUGGUUCAUUCUGGGCUUGAAGGUCCAAGUGACUUCUUGCUAGAGUUGGUUAAACCUCCCCAUGUCUCUCAUGGGCCACGGGCUCUGUGUCCAACUUUGAACAAGUUGUUCCCAUCUCGGAUAAGCUUUGCGCUGUAACCAUGCUGAGGACUUGCUGAGAUCCACUGCUGUCCUUGCUGAUGUGUAUCACAGGAUUAACACCCGAUGACCAUUUCUGCUGACAGGAUUGCCUCAGUACCUUCUAGAAGCAAUCGGAAAAUUGUAUUUUGCAUCUAGUAUCUUUAAAAGUACUUUCAAAAGUU
rnacentral:lncRNA from 1 species